rnacentral:rRNA from 1 species
GACGAACGCUGGCGGCGUGCUUAACACAUGCAAGUCGAACGGAAAGGCCCCUUCGGGGGUACUCGAGUGGCGAACGGGUGAGUAACACGUGAGUAACCUGCCCUUGACUUCGGGAUAACUUCAGGAAACUGGGGCUAAUACCGGAUAGGAAUCCUUGCUACAUGGUGGGGGUUGGAAAGCUUCGGCGGUUUUGGAUGGACUCGCGGCUUAUCAGCUUGUUGGCGGGGUAGUGGCUUACCAAGGCUUUGACGGGUAGCCGGCCUGAGAGGGCGACCGGCCACAUUGGGACUGAGAUACGGCCCAGACUCCUACGGGAGGCAGCAGUGGGGAAUAUUGCACAAUGGGCGGAAGCCUGGUGCAGCAACGCCGCGUGCGGGAUGACGGCCUUCGGGUUGUAAACCGCUUUCAGCAGGGGCGAAGCUUGUGGUGACGGUACCUGCAGAAGAAGCACCGGCUAACUACGUG